CAAUAGCGUAUAUUAAAGUUGUUGCAGUUAAAAGCUCGUAGUUGGAUUUGUGGCUGUCGCGUGCGGCCUGACACUUUGUGUUAGUGUUUGCUUGCGUCGCCAUCCUUGGGUGGAACCUGUGUGGCAUUAGGUUGUCGUGCAGGGGAUGCCCAUCGUUUACUGUGAAAAAUUAGAGUGUUCAAAGCAGGCUUAUGCCGUUGAAUAUAUUAGCAUGGAAUAAUAAGAUAGGACCUUGGUACUAUUUUGUUGGUUUGCGCACCAAGGUAAUGAUUAAUAGGGACAGUUGGGGGUAUUCGUAUUCCAUUGUCAGAGGUGAAAUUCUUGGAUUUUGGUAAGACGAACUACUGCGAAAGCAUUUACCAAGGAUGUUUUCAUUAAUCAAGAACGAAAGUAUGGGGAUCGAAGACGAUCAGAUACCGU
rnacentral:rRNA from 1 species